GCGACCGAGACGGCGUCCACGCGUGGCGGGCGGAGGCGUUUGAGGAGGAGGCGGAGCUUCUGAGCCAGGAGGCGGAGUUGCAGAGCGGGGAGCCUUCUGCGCGCCUGCGGCGAACGCAACAGGUGUCGAGCCUUGGGGACGAGCUGGCGGGCGAGGAGGCGGAGUUACAGCGGGCCGGCGCCGAAGCUUACUUCCUGGAGGGGGCG